rnacentral:rRNA from 1 species
AGUGAACGCUGGCGGUAGGCCUAACACAUGCAAGUCGAACGGCAGCACAGUAAGAGCUUGCUCUUACGGGUGGCGAGUGGCGGACGGGUGAGGAAUACAUCGGAAUCUACUUUUUCGUGGGGGAUAACGUAGGGAAACUUACGCUAAUACCGCAUACGACCUACGGGUGAAAGCAGGGGAUCCUCGGACCUUGCGCGAUUGAAUGAGCCGAUGUCGGAUUAGCUAGUUGGCGGGGUAAAGGCCCACCAAGGCGACGAUCCGUAGCUGGUCUGAGAGGAUGAUUAGCCACACUGGAACUGAGACACGGUCCAGACUCCUACGGGAGGCAGCAGUGGGGAAUAUUGGACAAUGGGCGCAAGCCUGAUCCAGCCAUACCGCGUGGGUGAAGAAGGCCUUCGGGUUGUAAAGCCCUUUUGUUGGGAAAGAAAAGCAGCAGGUUAAUACCCAGCUGUUCUGACGGUACCCAAAGAAUAAGCACCGGCUAACUUCGUG